rnacentral:rRNA from 1 species
GUGGGGAAUUUUGGACAAUGGGCGCAAGCCUGAUCCAGCAAUGCCGCGUGCAGGAAGAAGGCCUUCGGGUUGUAAACUGCUUUUGUACGGAACGAAACGGUCCUGGCUAAUAUCCGGGGCUAAUGACGGUACCGUAAGAAUAAGCACCGGCUAACUACGUGCCAGCAGCCGCGGUAAUACGUAGGGUGCGAGCGUUAAUCGGAAUUACUGGGCGUAAAGCGUGCGCAGGCGGUGCUGUAAGACAGGCGUGAAAUCCCCGGGCUCAACCUGGGAAUUGCGCUUGUGACUGCAAGGCUGGAGUGCGGCAGAGGGGGAUGGAAUUCCGCGUGUAGCAGUGAAAUGCGUAGAUAUGCGGAGGAACACCGAUGGCGAAGGCAAUCCCCUGGGCCUGCACUGACGCUCAUGCACGAAAGCGUGGGGAGCAAACAGGAUUAGAUACCCGUGUAGUCC